UACGGGGGAUGCAAGCGUUAUCCGGAUUUAUUGGGUUUAAAGGGUGCGUAGGCUGUAAGGUAAGUCAGCGGUGAAAUGCCCCCGCUCAACGGGGUGAAGUGCCAUUGAUACUGCCUUGCUGGAAUGCGGAUGCCGUGGGAGGAAUGUGUGGUGUAGCGGUGAAAUGCAUAGAUAUCACGCAGAACCCCGAUUGCGAAGGCAGCAUACCGGCGCCCUACUGACGCUGAGGCUCGAAAGCAUGGGUAGCGAACAGG
rnacentral:rRNA from 1 species